CACGGAUGCCUGGUCUUACAAUCAUAU
rnacentral:piRNA from 1 species